UAGCGCUUGAAGCACUUUACCCAAAUCAAGUCCCUUUCGUAUCACUCCUUCCCUGCCUUUCCUACGUAUCCACUCGAAUGCUGAAAGUUGGAGCUCCUUACCCAAAGACUGGGCGGAAGGGGUGACCGCCCUGGACCCCUGCCCGACUUCCCGUUAGGCCAAGCCGCCGUCCUGAAAGGGGAUCGUGUCCAGGCCGGCUUCCUGGAGACACACCUGCGCCUGCACACACCCACCGCGGUCGCGUCACCAGUGCCGCGGCCACCUGGACGAGGACCAAAGUCUGGAGGGAAUUCCCUCAGCCAUAGAGCGAUGGGAAAGCAGGACCCGGUGGAGACUGGAGUCUUGCUAUGCUUUCCAGGCUGGUUUUGAACUCCUAACCUCAAGCGAUUUUCCUGCCUCAGCCUCCCAAAGUGCUGGGAUUACAGGCAUGAUCCACCCGGCCCUGUUGUUUUUAAGAAAAUUACAAGUUAAAUCUUGUAUCAGUGAACAAGAUAAGGGAUGGUGAUGUGGAGCUGCAAUUCCUGGUUCCAAAUCCUGGCUCCUCCCCUCAUCCCUGGAGGUCCAAGGACAGGAGAAUGGGAUGUUGGGAAGCUGCCCCUCAGAGGACAUCUUGGAAACACUGUUAGGUCCUCUAACCCAUCCUUAGACAUCAGGACAGAGACCCACAGAAUGGCACACCCAGACCGGAUCAUGGGGCCUCUGAAUUGUGCUUUGACCGAGCACCAUUCUGUCUCACUCUGGCAGAUGUUACAGGAAACAAUCCUAAGAACUGACUGAGGAAACUUGAGGCAGCCCUGCAGAUAACCACCAGCAAGGCCACAGGAUUUCAUGGCAGAUGCUUCACAAACCAGCUUCUCACUCAGCUCCAUUCUAUUUUACAAAAUAUAUUCCUUCUGCCUUCACUCUUAUGCUGUGAAGUAUUUUUUGUAUGUUGUUCUAUUGUGUAAAGUCACCCUCAAUACUUAUUUUAUUUUUGAGACAGGGUUUCACUCUGUCACCCAGGCUGGAGUGCAGUGGCACGAUCAUAGCUC